rnacentral:rRNA from 1 species
UACGGGAGGCAGCAGUGGGGAAUUUUGGACAAUGGGCGCAAGCCUGAUCCAGCCAUGCCGCGUGUCUGAAGAAGGCCUUCGGGUUGUAAAGGACUUUUGUCAGGGAAGAAAAGGCUGUUGCUAAUACCAACAGCUGAUGACGGUACCUGAAGAAUAAGCACCGGCUAACUACGUGCCAGCAGCCGCGGUAAU